UACGUAGGGUGCAAGCGUUAAUCGGAAUUACUGGGCGUAAAGCGUGCGCAGGCGGUUCUAUAAGACAGAUGUGAAAUCCCCGGGCUUAACCUGGGAACUGCGUUUGAAACUGGGAGACUUGAGUGUGGCAGAGGGGGGUAGAAUUCCGACGUGUAGCAGUGAAAUGCGUAGAGAUGUGGAGGAAUACCGAUGGCGAAGGCAGCCCCCUGGGAUAACACUGACGCUCAUGCACGAAAGCGUGGGGAGCAAACAGG
rnacentral:rRNA from 1 species